UACGGGGGGGGGCAAGCGUUGUUCGGAAUUACUGGGCGUAAAGGGCCUCGUAGGCCGGCCAACUAAGUCGGAUGUGAAAUCCCCAAGCUUAACUUGGGAACUGCAUCCGAUACUGGAUGGCUUGAAUCCGGGAGAGGGAUGCAGAAUUCCAGGUGUAGCGGUGAAAUGCGUAGAUAUCUGGAGGAACACCGGUGGCGAAGGCGGUGGUCUGGGCCGGCACUGACGCUGAGGAGCGAAAGCGUGGGUAGCAAACAGG
rnacentral:rRNA from 1 species